rnacentral:rRNA from 1 species
CCUACGGGAGGCUGCAGUGGGGAAUAUUGGACAAUGGGGGGAACCCUGAUCCAGCCAUGCCUCGUGUGUGAAGAAGGCCCUCGGGGUGUAAAGCACUUUCAGUGAGGAAGAACGCCUGGUGGUUAAUACCCAUCAGGAAAGACAUCACUCACAGAAGAAGCACCGGCUAACUCCGUGCCAGCAGCCGCGGUAAUACGGAGGGUGCGAGCGUUAAUCGGAAUUACUGGGCGUAAAGCGCGCGUAGGUGGCUUGAUAAGCCGGUUGUGAAAGCCCCGGGCUCAACCUGGGAACGGCAUCCGGAACUGUCAAGCUAGACUGCAGGAGAGGAAGGUAGAAUUCCCGGUGUAGCGGUGAAAUGCGUAGAGAUCGGGAGGAAUACCAGUGGCGAAGGCGGCCUUCUGGACUGACACUGACACUGAGGUGCGAAAGCGUGGGUAGCAAACAGGAUUAGAUACCCCUGUAGUC